GUGUGGCCAAUUAAGCCAACUGUGCUCCCUGCCCUGUGGGGCCCUGUGUGCAAUGGCAGCAAACAGCCUUCUCAGUAGUGUUCACGGCCUAUGGCUUGGAUGGGCUGUAAUAAGGAGACAGUU
rnacentral:snoRNA from 1 species